GGCUUUUAGCCGAGCGGUCUACGGGGAUGAUUUCCGUAAAGGUGCAUGAGUGGUGUUUGGUUUGUUGCGGAUGGUUGGAUGUCUGCUUGCGCAGCAACUUCCAUGCGGGCUUACCUCUUCAAUUGUGCUACAAGCCUUGUUUGGCUUGCAUCGUUCGGUGGGUUUCUUGUGUUGCUUACCUAAUCGAUGGCAUUGUUUGUCCCUAUAAGUUAGAUUUUGUAACACGUUGCUUGCGGCGUGAUACAAACGAUGAAGCAACCUUUGUUGUUCAACCUGUUGCUGCUCAUGCAUCGAUGGCUUGGCCCAUGAAGUGUUGAUUGGUCCCUUGGAUAUGGAACAUGAUGUGGGCACAAGUUCGUCAAAGAUCUUGAAUUUGCCCUUAUCGAGUGAUUUAGCUUCUUUAAAUGACCGUCGUCCAUGUAUCGAC
rnacentral:misc_RNA from 1 species